UGGGGAAUAUUGGACAAUGGGCGCAAGCCUGAUCCAGCCAUGCCGCGUGAGUGAUGAAGGCCCUAGGGUUGUAAAGCUCUUCGGCGGGGACGAUAAUGACGGUACCCGCAGAAGAAGCCCCGGCUAACUUCGUGCCAGCAGCCGCGGUAAUACGAAGGGGGCUAGCGUUGUUCGGAAUCACUGGGCGUAAAGGCGCGUAGGCGGCUGUUCAAGUCGGGGGUGAAAGCCUGUGGCUCAACCACAGAAUUGCCUUCGAUACUGGACGGCUGGAGACCGGAAGAGGUCAGUGGAACUGCGAGUGUAGAGGUGAAAUUCGUAGAUAUUCGCAAGAACACCAGUGGCGAAGGCGGCUGACUGGUCCGGUUCUGACGCUGAGGAGCGAAAGCGUGGGGAGCGAACAGGAUUAGAUACCC
rnacentral:rRNA from 1 species